rnacentral:lncRNA from 1 species
CGCGCCACCGGGCCAGCCCCUGGGUUUUCACUUCUGAGAGGUUGACGCAGGUGCUUUCGCAGUUCACAGGCCUCUUCACUUAGCUGCUGAUUCAUCUCACUGAAAUGGGGCAGCAGCCAGGCCUGCCACUGAUCCAUCUUCCCCUGGAUCCUGCCUCAGCUCCUUUCACUUCUAUACCAGGACCCUUGCCAUUCUGUGUUUUCUGUAGCUACCCAUAUCACUAGAACUAAUUAUUAUCAAGGAUCAGAGAAGGAGAAAGACCCGGAUAAAGGAAAGUAAAGAAAGUUUCCUCUCAGGGGCCAGCCUGGUGGCACAGAGGCAAUAGUGCUCAAGAUGGUGAGUGUGCCAUCAGCCUGGUCCCUGAGUGAGAAGGAUAUUAAUGUGAUACAGAGGAUCAGAACCCCAUAUCCAACCUAUUAUGGAUAAAUUAUUAUCAUUGGCAAUGUUGGUUGGUUGGAUUUGUAACAUCAUCAGUAGAAUGAUCACUCACAAGAAAAGAGAUUCAGAGGAAGCACAUCAUGAUCCCUUUGAAGAAUCACUACAUUCCAGAAUAAUCCCAUCCAGUGUUCUGAGGAGUCCGUCUCACCCCUCUGGGUGUCUUAUAAAAAUUAAAUUAGGAAAAAAAAGAAAAUGUACACAAUGUUGAGACCUGCUUUGAAUCCUAAAUUGAACAUAAAGUUGCGUAUAUGUAAGUUCUUGCCCCCAUCAUAGUGUUUCUUAAAGUAUGAAUGAAUAAACAGACAAAAUUUCAAAAGCAAGAAAAAAGAUCAAGUUAUGUUAAGUGAAAAAAUUGGACUAUUAAAACUAUGGUCAUUAUGGUAGAACUGGUUUUAUGUUUAUAGUAAUUAAAAUUCAUACAAGAAAGGAGUGAGAGGAAAUAUGUCAACAUAUUAGCAGUGGUAAACCCUGGACGACAGGAUUGCAGGUGAUUCUUAUAUGGAAAGUUUGUGAUUUACUGCCAGGGGAUCUUUUAGGGGUAUCCUGAACCACUUCCAUAUUGGUAUCCAUGUGAAAUUGUGCAAUUAUUCUCUCUCUCAUGGGCUCCGAACUCAAUUUUAUUCACAUCUAGGAAAGGGAAACUUUUAGGAGGAAACAAUCCCUUGGUCUCCUUCCCCUACCUCUCUCAUUCCGACUUAUCAAUUGACAUAAAUGCUAAUCACCGAUUUUCUCUGAGGCCUUAGGCAAAUCUCACAUUGGCAUUUACAGAUUCAUUAUUUGAAUAAUUAAAUGUUAAUUAUAAUUCUUAGUUUAUUCAAUAUAGCAUAGGACACUUUGACUUAUUUUCCUUAAUUGACCCCAUAAUUUUGAUUUAUGUUCUUCAUCCAAAGUUUACUGCCUGAUAAAUGUUUAAUAAUUAUGCCAUUUAGAGAUAUUGAUGCUUAAAAAAUUGCAACCAUUUAUAUCAGGAAAUGAAAAUGCAGUCUAACCAAUUUUCUAUGUGCCGAUGAAAAGUGAAACACUUGAUCCUUUACCUAGGCAUCUCCAAGAGUCCCUAUGCUUGAGCUAUAUAGAGAUAACAUUACAGAUUCAGUGUAAGGAAUAUAUUCUGAUAAAUUUCAAUUUAUUUAUAACCCAUCCAUUUGUUCAACAAAUAUUUGUUGAGGACCUACUGUGUGUCAGGCAAUGUUCUAGGCCUACAGAUAUAGCAAUGAUCAAAAGAGACAAAUCUAUCACCUCAUGGAGUGAACAUUUAGGGGGAGAAUGGGAAAUAAAUAAAUAAUUAUAUAUAAUAUAUCUGGAGGACAUAAGUGGGGAAAGGUGAUAUAAAGUAUUGACAUUGAAAUUUUAACUAAAUUAUUGAACGGAAAAAUCAACAGACGUUGACUUUUUAUUGAGGUUUAACGUAAAAAUAAUAAAAUGUAUAGUUCUUAAGUUUUUGACAGUUCUGAAGUUUGACAACUGUAUAUGCUCAUGCUACAAGUCCUGAAACAAGAUGUAGAACACUUCCGUCUCUCCAU